rnacentral:tRNA from 1 species
GCCUUCGCGGUGCAGUGGUUAGCACGCUCAGCUCAUAUUCGAGAGGUCCGUGGUUCGAAUCCUGGCGAGGGCA